AGUGAGAAGUGAGAGACGGGAGAGAAUUAAAGAAAACGUAUAAAUAUAUAUAUACUGAAAUAUAGUGAAACAUAUACACACAAAAACAUACACAUAUUACAUACAUACAAGUAUACAUACAUACUUACGUACAAACAGACGUACACAAACACAUACAGGCACACAAACGCAUACAAGCAUACACACAUACAUGCAUACAUUCAUGCAUACAUACAUGCAUGCAUGCAUGCAUACAAGCAUACAUUUACAUACAUAAACCAAUAGAAAAAAAAACCCAGCCUUCUUCACACUUUUCGUUUAUUCUGGCGACAAACUGGAGACGGUGUACACCGAAGUCGUGUAUACAGAGCAGGAACACCAGAGUAUUGGAAUAAACAAAGAACAAACGAGCAAAAAAGGCAUAACUCGGUGAGAACAACAACAACAACAACGAUUAAAAAAAAAACGAGGAAAGAAGAAAAAAGGAGAAAAAAGAAUCGGAAAAGAAGCAACUUGUUGAAUUGGAAAAAAUGUUGCUACCAUUACUUCAUGUUGGACUAAUAGGUGCAAGUGGCGGUGGGUUUUUUAACUCUGACCAGUGGAAAUACUUCGAAUUUACUUUUAUGAUGAUAUUGCUGAUUCUGCAUACGUGUUUUAUCACUAUCGUUGUAAUCCGAAAGAUUAAGAAAUAUCAGGCCUCUAAAGAGAAACAAAGUCAAGCACAGACCGCGAAUGCCAAUCCGCCUGCGAGUGCAAUGGGGCAGACAGCUCAAUAACUUUAUUCCAAAGGUUCUCAAACUUUUCGGGCCACCGCCCCGCUCAUGGUCACAUAGUACCCUCAGCGCCCCACCCCUAUUUUUAUGUAUCAAUAAAAAUUUUAUAUUUUACUAAUUUA